rnacentral:rRNA from 1 species
UGCGUAGGCGGGCUAAUAAGUCAGUGGUGAAAUCUUCCGGCUCAACCGGGAAACUGCCAUUGAUACUGUUAGUCUUGAGUUCGGUUGAGGUAGGCGGAAUGUGUAAUGUAGCGGUGAAAUGCUUAGAUAUUACACAGAACACCAAUUGCGUAGGCAGCUUACUAGACCGGCACUGACGCUGAGGCACGAAAGCGUGGGGAGCGAACAGGAUUAGAUACCCUGGUAGUCC